rnacentral:lncRNA from 1 species
GGGUCCUAUAGGGCCGUGGGGUCCUAUGGGGGCUGUGGGGUCCUAUGGGGUCUGUGGGGGCUGUGGGUCCCACCCGUGUCUGUGGGCCCCAUAGGGAUGUGGGGUCUGUGGGGUCCUAUGGGGUCUGUGGGGUCCUAUGGGGUCUGUGGGGUCUGUGGGCUCUGUGGGGCUGUGUGGGCUGUAGGAUCCUAUGGGGUCUGUGGGGUCCUAUGGGGGUCUGUGGGGUCUGUGGGUCCCACCCGUGUCUGUGGGCCCCAUAGGGAUGUGGGGUCUGUGGUGUCCUAUGGGAUCUGUGGGGUCCUAUGGGGUCUGUGGGCUCUGUGGGCUCUGUGGGGCUGUGUGGGCUGUGGGAUCCUAUGGGGUCUGUGGGAUCCUAUGGGGUCUGUGGGGUCUGUGGGUCCCACCCGUGUCUGUGGGCCCCAUAGGGAUGUGGGGGCUGUGGGGUCCUAUGGGGUCUGUGGGGUCUGUGGGUCCCACCCGUGUCUGUGGGCCCCAUAGGGCUGUGGGUUCUGUGGGGUCCUAUGGGGUCCUGAGGGGUCUGUGGGGUCCUAUGGGGUCUGUGGGGUCUGUGGGCUCUGUGGGGCUGUGUGGGCUGUGGGAUCCUAUGGGGUCUGUGGGAUCCUAUGGGGUCUGUGGGGUCUGUGGGUCCCACCCGUGUCUGUGGGCCCCAUAGGGAUGUGGGGGCUGUGGUGUCCUAUGGGGUCCUGUGGGGUCUGUGGGGGUCUAUGGGGUCUGUGGGGUUCUGUGGGUCCUGUGGGGGGUCCUAUGGGGUUUGUGGGUUCCUAUGGGGUCUGUGGGGUUCUGUGGGUCCUGUGGGGGUCCUAUAGGGUUCUAUGGGGUUCUGUGGGUUCUGUGGGGUCCUAUAGGGUUCUGUGGGGUUCUGUGGGUCCUAUGGGGUUCUGUGGGGUUCUAUGGGGUCCUGUGGGGUUCUGUGGGUCCUGUGGGGUCCUAUAGGGUUCUAUGGGGUUCUGUGGGUCCUGUGGGGUCCUAUAGGGUUCUGUGGUGUCACAGGGUGACGCAGGGACCCCAUAGAGACCCAAAGGGGGACGGCGGCACCCCAUAGGGACCCCAUAGGGACCCCAUAGGGGAACACCCAUAGGGUGACAGCGGGACCCCGUAAAGACCCCAUAGGGGGACACUGGGACCCCAUAGGGACCCCAUAGAGACACCUAUAGGGUGACGCCAGGACCCCAUAGGGACCCUAUAGCGACCUCACGGCUGCCCCAUAUUGGGACGCCCAGAGGGGCCCCAUAGGGGGACUCCCAUAGGGUGACAGCGGGGCACAAAUAGGGUCACCCGUAGGGACCCCAUAGGGGGACUCCCAUAGGGUCAUGUAGGGGCUUUACAUGGGGUCAGCACAUGGGGGACCCUAUAGCGACCCCAUAGCAGCCCCACAGGGACCCCAUAUAAGGACCCUAAAUAGGGACCCCAUAGGGUGACACCGGGACCCCAUAGGGACCCCAUAGGGUGGCGCCAGGACCCCAUAGGGACACCAUAGGGACCCCAUAGGGGGACUCCCAUAGGG